UGGGGAAUUUUGGACAAUGGGCGAAAGCCUGAUCCAGCAAUGCCGCGUGUGUGAAGAAGGCCUUCGGGUGUAAAGCACUUUUGUCCGGAAAGAAAUCCUUGGCUCUAAUACAGUCGGGGAUGACGGUACCGGAAGAAUAAGCACCGGCUAACUACGUGCCAGCAGCCGCGGUAAUACGUAGGGUGCAAGCGUUAAUCGGAAUUACUGGGCGUAAAGCGUGCGCAGGCGGUUUGCUAAGACCGAUGUGAAAUCCCCGGGCUCAACCUGGGAACUGCAUUGGUGACUGGCAGGCUAGAGUAUGGCAGAGGGGGGUAGAAUUCCACGUGUAGCAGUGAAAAUGCGUAGAGAUGUGGAGGAAUACCGAUAGGCGAAGGCAGCCCCCUGGGCCAAAUACUGACGCUCAUGCACGAAAGCGUGGGGAGCAAACAGGAUUAGAUACCCCUGGUAGUCCACGCCCUAAAACGAUGUCAACUAGUUGUUGGGGAUUCAUUUCCUUAGUGACGUAGCUAACGCGUGAAGUUGACCGCCUGGGGAGUACGGUCGCAAGAUUAAAAACUCAAAGGAAUUGAC
rnacentral:rRNA from 1 species